rnacentral:misc_RNA from 1 species
AGUCGUAACAAGGUAUCCGUAGGUGAACCUGCGGAUGGAUCAUUACCAAAGGAUUUUUCCUAACGUAUUGUGAACUGUAUUGAAUGCACAGUCAGUGGCUGUGUGUUGUGUUUUAGGGAGUUAUUGGUGUUACUGUAGUGGGGCUAAACUUAUUACAGAUAGCAGUGGUUUCGAUCUAUUACACUACGCACUGUCGCUGGCUGUAUACUAAACGUAUUUACUUCAAAAACUGACGUCUGCUUUAGCUUAAUAAACUAAAGACAACUUUUAGCAAUGGAUCUCUUGGCUCUC